rnacentral:rRNA from 1 species
UCGAGGAUCUUCGUCAAUGGGCGCAAGCCUGAACGAGCGACGCCGCGUGUGCGAUGAAGGCCUUCGGGUUGUAAAGCACUGUCGAGGGGGAUCAAGGCGCAAGCGUUGAGCGAUCCCUGGAGGAAGCACGGGCUAAGUUCGUGCCAGCAGCCGCGGUAAGACGAACCGUGCGAACGUUGUUCGGAAUCACUGGGCUUAAAGGGCGCGUAGGCGGCUCGCGAGGUCGGGGGUGAAAUCCCGCAGCUUAACUGCGGAAGUGCCUUCGAUACCGGCGGGCUGGAGGAAGGUAGGGGUGCGCGGAACUUCUGGUGGAGCGGUGAAAUGCGUUGAUAUCAGAAGGAACGCCGGCGGCGAAAGCGGCGCACUGGACCUUUUCUGACGCUGAGGCGCGAAAGCCAGGGGAGCAAACGGGAUUAGAUACCCUGGUAGUCCUGGCCCUAAACGAUGGGUACUAGGUCGUGGGCCAGUCAUGGGCUCACAGCCGAAGCAAAAGUGUUAAGUA